rnacentral:lncRNA from 1 species
UUGUGAAUGCUCAUGUGGAGGAAAGAGCAGAGCUCUAAGAUUUUAGCAUGAUGGGAGGCUUAUUCAGUUCCUGAUGGGGCUAAACGAUGCUUAUUCAGGAGUGAAGUGCAAUAUCCUCAUGACCACACCUCUUCCCAGCAUCAAUCAUGCUUACUCACUCUUGAUCUAGGAAGAGAAACAGAAAGAAAUCCAGGUUGUACAGCAUCCUCUUGACUUUGCUUUCUUGGCCACAAAGCAGCAAUAUGGAGGUCAGAAGUAUACUCAAGCAAAUAAGAGAUGAAGUUUUGAGGGAAAGAGAAACACAGUGGUAUGUUCGUAUUGUAAGAAGCCUGGACAUUCAGUAGAGAAAUGAUACAGAAUCAUUGGAUUUCCUGCAGAUUUUAAAUUCACUAAAACAAAAGGUUUCAAGGAGGUGUCUAGGGAUAUGCAGCAGCCACAACAGAUCCUAAUUCUGAACAGUCAAUCUAUGGUUUGGAGAAAGGAUUCACUCAAGAUCAAUAUCACACUCUAUGUCAGCUGCUUCAACAAGCUAAAUUCACACCACAAGGAGACAUCAGCUCAGAAGUGAAUGUGACUGCAAAUUGUGUAGGUAUACCUAAACACUCUUUCUCAAAAAUUGCUAACAAUGUUAUUUAGAUCUUAGACUCAGGAGCAUCUGAACACAUGACAUGUGAUCUUAAUCUUCUAUUCAAUAUUAGAACCUUAGUCAAGCCAGUGUUUGUUAAUCUUCCUAACUCACAAAGGGUUAGGGUCACUCAGGUAGAAAAUGUACAAGUUCUUCCUGAUCUCACUCUGAUUAAUGUUCUUUUCGUUCCUACUUUCAAGUGUAACCUUCUAUCAGUUCACAAACUUUGCCAGCAUGUUAAUUGUCUACUCAUUUUUCAUUCUAUUGGUGCAAUUUUACAGGCCCCUUCAAUGAAGAGGCCAGUGGUUCUUGGUAAAGAGAAACAAGGGAUUUAUUUACUCCACACCAUCAAGCCUAGUAGCAGUUUGAUUGAUUCCAAAAAGGACUAUUGUCCAAUUUUUUCAGCUUCUAAGAAGGACUACUGUCCAGUUCUCUCUAAGUAUGUUAGGGAUAGUGUUAAGUCUUUAGUUUCAAUUUCAUGUUGUUCUUCAUUUUCAAAUGAUGUAAGCCUAUGGCACUUAAGGUUAGGGCAUUUGCCUUAUUCAAAUAUGAGAAAUAUCUCUUCUAUUUCUUGUUCUACUUCAGAUAAUUUAAUCAAACAUUAUUAGAUAUGUGCCAAAGCUAGACAAGUAAAGUUACAUUUCCAAUCUACUACCACAUCAACAAAGGAAAUUUUUGAAUUAAUUCACAUUGACACUUGGGGACCCUAUAAAGAACCCACUCAUGAUGGUUUUAGGUAUUUUCUCAUAAUUGUUGAUGACUUUAGUAGGGGAACUUGGACUUAUCUUCUUAGUACUAAGUCUAAUGAUUUUACCCUUUUAAAAUAAUUUCUUGCCGUGGUGGAAAGACAAUUUGGAAAGAAGGUCAAAAUCAUAAGAUCAGAUAAUGCCUCGGAACUUGGGAGUGGAUUAGAAAAUUCAGCAUUUCUUUCUUCUCAAGGGAUAAUACAUCAAAUUAGUUGUGUUCACAUCCCACAACAAAAUGGGAUUGUUUAAAGAAAACACAAGCACCUUUUGAAAACAUGCAUGGCACUUUUAUUCCAGUCCAGACUUCCUAUUUCUUUUUGGGGAGAAUGUCUAUUAACUGCUACCCAUCUCAUUAAUAGAUUUCCUUCUAAGGUUCUUAAUCUAAAAUCUCCUUAUGAAGUCCUAUUUAGUGUACCGCCCUCAUAUCACCCACUAAGAGUUUUUGGUUGCCUUGUCUAUGCCUGCACACUAACUCCUCACAGAUCAAAGCUUGAUCCAAGAUCUGUGCCUUAUGUAUUUGUAGUAUAUCCAGUAGGAAAGAAAGGAUACAAGCUCCUAAACCUCCAGACCAUGAAGAUCUUUGUUUCUAGGAAUGUCAAGUUCCAUGGAACUAUCUUCCCAUUCAUCUCUGUUACAGGGAAUCAGACCAUUUUCCCUUCUUCAUCAACACAACCUACUGAUUGUAUCUAUAAGGAGCUUUCAUCACAUUCUGAUACUCAGAAUGUUUCCUCCUCAGUUCCUAUUGCUUCUUCUCCUAUGAUUCAUUCCACUUCUCCCUCUAAUUCUUCCCCUUCCUCUUCUUCUCCUAUCCCGCAUUCACCCUCUCCUAAUCCUAUUCCUUUUCCCCGCUCUCCUAUUCCACCUCCAGCACUUGAACUUAGGAGAUCUAAUAGACCACACAUUACCCCCACCAUAUCUUUCUGAUUAUGUUUGCAACCCAUUGAUUUUAACAGACCUUACUGCUUCAUGUUUUGCCACUUCCAUUCAACCCACUAGAUUGCUUUUCUCUGCCUUGUCUCAAACAAAUCAAUCUUUACUUAAAACUAUUUCAUAUACCUCAGAACCUACUUCCUAUUCCCAAGCAGUUUUACACCCUAGAUGGCAAGAGGCUAUGGCCAAAGAAUUUGAGGCCUUGGAAGCAAAUAAGAGAUGGGAAGUUGUUCUUUUACCAGCAGGAAAGAAAGCAUUACUGUGUAAGUGGGUGUAUAGAGUGAAGUAUAGAUCUGAUGGUUCUUUUGGAGAGAUACAAAACACGUUUGGUGAUUAGAGGAGAUAUUCAACGGGAAGGGAUAGAUUUCAAUGAGACCUUUUCCCCGGUUGUAAAAAUAACAACCAUCAGGUGUCUUUUUGCCAUUGUUGUUAAGAAGAACUGGGAAGUAUUUCAAUUAGAUGUCAAUAACGCAUUUUUGCAUAGGGAUUUGCAAGAAGAAGUUUUUAUGAAAUUCCCAGCGAGAUGCAGUUCCCUUCACCCAAUCAUGUGUGUCUUUUAAAGAAGUCUCUAUAUGGUUUGCGAUAAGCCUCAAUGCAAUGGUAUGUUAGGCUUACAACAACUUUGAAUUUUAAAUGGUAUUCUCAUUCACUCAAUGACUACUUGUUAUUUUUUAAGAAAUCCGCAGGGAAAGUUACUAUCAUUGCCGUUUAUGUCGAUGACAUUCUAAUAACAGGGGAUGAUUUAUUAGAGCAGCAUCGUUUGAAGGAGUUUCUUAAUUGUGAAUUCAAGAUCAAAGAUAUCGGGCAAGCACACUAUUUCCUAGGCAUGGAAAUCAUUCGUGAAGAAAAAGGUUUCAUUUUGACUCAAAAGAGAUUUACCUCAGAACUAUUGACUGAAUUUGGGGUUCUUGACCUCAAGGCCACUGCAUCGCCCAUUGAUCCCACUCAAAGACUCAGCCUUCACACUGGCGAUUUGAUUCUAGACCCAACCUUCUAUCAAUGACUUCUAAAAAAGUUGAACUUCCUCACUGACACGCGGCCUGAUCUGUCCAUCGCCGUGAAAUAUCUGAGCCAAUUUAUGUAGUCUCCACGCCAACCUCACUUGAAGCGCAGCUUUUCACUAUCUGCGUUAUCUUCUCUCAAAUCCUGCAAUGGGUCUUUUGCUCAACCCUAAUCCAUCACUUCGCCUUCUUGCUUUCUGUGACUCCGACUGGGGACAAUGUCCUGAUACUCAUCGAUCUAUUAGUGGAUUCUACAUUAUCCUUGGGGGUUCGCGGGUCUCCUAGAAAUCAAAGAAACAACCUUUAGUUUCUUUGUCCUCUACUGAAGCAGAGUACAGAUCCAUGAGACGAGUGGUCGCAAAAGCUACCUGGUUAGUUCGAUUGUUCGAAGAUCUCUCUAUUUUACCCUUUCUGUCGGUUCAGCUUCAUUCCGAUAGCGAAGUUGCGAUUCAUAUUGCCAAAAAUCCAGUAUUCCACAAAUGUACGAAGCACGUGGAACUUGAUUGCCAUUUUGUUCGCCAACAAUUUCAGGCGGGAAUCAUUUCUUUAUUUUUUGUCCCUUCCCAUUAACAGGUUGCCGAUAUUUUCACAAAACCCUUGUCCG